rnacentral:lncRNA from 1 species
GAUCUCCUGACCUCAUCAUCUGCCCGCCUCGGCCUCCCAGUUUGUUUGCAUUCUUUCCCCACAAAUAAUGGGCAAAACUCAUAGCGGAAAAAAGGGUGAUGCAAAUAAUAUCUUAAAAAUGUAUUUGAUUUAUUAAGCAUCAAUUUGCCUCUAAUGUUUUUAUGGACACUUGUUCUAAUAAAUGUAUUGUUGAAGACAGUUGACAUUGAUGAAAAGAAUCAAAUAAAAAUUAUAAAUUCAGAGACACAUUUGACCAAACACCCAGGGUAAAGUGUAAUAGUCAUUCCUUCCAUUGGUUAGCACAUAGCUUCAACUACUGAUUAGUUCGUUACUUUUUUGAUAUCUCACCUGGAAUUCAUAUACAGAUUUAAUUGUAGGCAAAGAUUUAAAAAUCAUAAUAUGAGAGCCAGUAUUUUUUACAAUUCAGAAAUGAGGAUCAAGCCGCCUAAGAAUAGAAGUAACUACCAUUUCCUGAAUAUGUACUAAAGGCAAAGCUGAGUAUAUUAUUCUCUAAUACUCAAAAUACAUAACGAGUUCAAUAUUUUUGCCUUCAUUUUACAAAUAACAAGACAGGGGCUUAGAACAGGCAACCAAGUUGCUUAAAGCCAUAUCUGGGUCCGAAUACAGGACCCCACUACUUUGUAACCUUUCUAGAGUAAGGCUUUGCAAAGUAGUCCUGGGAGGACUUGCAAAAUCUCCUCAAAUCAGCUUUGACUGCUGUCUAAAUCUAUUCAGAACUUCCAGAUAGCUAAGAUAGCAAGACAUCUAAAUGCUAAACAGUUGAUGAUGGAAGUAUUUUUGGGCUUAGUUUUUAAAAAAUGUAUGAUUCAGUAGUUUUUAGUAUGUUCAGAAUGCUGUGUCACCAUUACCGUUAUCUAAUUUCAGAACUUUUUCAUCACCCAUAAUAGAAACCCCAUACUCAUCAGCAGUCACUCCCCCUUGCCCUCUUUCCGAGCUCUUGACUACUGAUCUACUUUCUCUGUAUACACAUUUGCCUGUUCUGUGUAUUUUAUAUAAAUGGAAUCACUCAACAUAUAAUCUUUUUUGUCUAAUGUCUUUUAUUUAGCAUAAUCUUCUCAAGGUUCAUCCACGUUGUAGAAGGAAUCAGUACUUCAUUCUUUUUACGGUUGAAAUGAUUCCAUUGUAUGCUAUUUACCACAUCUAGUUUACCCAUCUAUCAGUAAUGGACAUCUGGGUGGUUUCCACUUUGGGGCCAUUAUGAAUAAUGCUGCUGGGAACAUUCAUGCACAAAUUUUUGUCUGGACUAUGUUUUUAAUUCUCUUGGGUAAAUACCUAGGAGUAGAAUCGCUGGCUUAUAUGCUAACUCUAUGUUUAACUUUUUGAGGAACUGCCAACUGCUUUCCAAAGCGACAGUGGAGAUUCUGUUUUUUAAGAAUCAGAUCCACGAAUUUUGGAUAUGUCACACGAUUGACUUUUUCUUCCUUUUCAACAGCUACAGAUUUCAAUGAGGACAAUAAAGGAGCAUAAGAUCGAGAGGUCAGUGGUGGGGCAGGUCUUGGCAAGGAGGAGAGACUAUGCUUUUUGUUUCCUCUAGACUGAAUUGGAGCGUCAAUGAAGAGGCAAGAUGAGGCUGGAUGUUGGAAAAAGUCUCCUUGGAAGAGCUGCUCUGCUGAGUGCAGUUAAGCAGAAAACUGAAAGAUGAAAAUGUAGGGGUCAGAAAAGGGAUUUUCUUAUAUGACAGGUUUAAGUGUUUUGAGUGCUCAUGGGGUGUAAGAUGUAGAUCUGGAAUAAGUGGCGGGGGUGGGGUAAAUCCUAUGGUUUCCUCUGUGCUUUGUACAGAGACAUAGUGGUGUGAGUGGCAACUGGGUAAAAUAAGUGUAACUUCAAUUUUAAUUUUUUUCUUUCA